rnacentral:rRNA from 1 species
GACGAACGCUGGCGGCGUGCUUAACACAUGCAAGUCGAACGGUAAGGCCCUUCGGGGGUACACGAGUGGCGAACGGGUGAGUAACACGUGGGUGAUCUGCCCUGCACUUCGGGAUAAGCCUGGGAAACUGGGUCUAAUACCGGAUAGGACCACUGCCUGCAUGGGUGGUGGUGGAAAGCUUUUGCGGUGUGGGAUGGGCCCGCGGCCGAUCAGCUUGUUGGUGGGGUGGUGGCCUACCAAGGCGACGACGGGUAGCCGGCCUGAGAGGGUGACCGGCCACACUGGGACUGCGAUACGGGCCAGACUCGUACGGGAGGCAGCAGUGAGGGGUCUUCCACAAUGGGCGAAAGCCUGAUGGAGCGACACCGCGUGAAGGAAGAAGGCCUAACGGUUGUAAACUUCUUUUCUGAAGGAGCAUAAUGAGAGUACUUCAGGAAUAAGGAACGGCUAAUCACGUGCCAGCCGCCGCGGUAA